AGUCAGCUGAGCCGGGGCUGGGUUUUCCAUGCAGCCCAGGGGUGGAGGCCCUCAGGUGAGGGUGGGGGAGGCAGGGAGUGAGCCCCCGGGCCGGCCGGGUGCCAGUACCUCCUCCACCUGGGCUUGGGAGAGGCGUCUGUCUACAAGGCCUCGGGCAGCUUCAGGAAAAUUCUUGAUGGGGGAGGCAGGAACUGACUGA
rnacentral:lncRNA from 1 species